GACGGCCUACGGGGGGCAGCAGUGGGGAAUAUUGGGCAAUGGGCGCAAGCCUGACCCAGCAACGCCGCGUGAAGGAAGAAGGCUUUCGGGUUGUAAACUUCUUUUGUCAGGGACGAAGCAAGUGACGGUACCUGACGAAUAAGCCACGGCUAACUACGUGCCAGCAGCCGCGGUAAUACGUAGGUGGCAAGCGUUAUCCGGAUUUACUGGGUGUAAAGGGCGUGUAGGCGGGGAAGCAAGUCAGAUGUGUAAACCACCG
rnacentral:rRNA from 1 species